rnacentral:rRNA from 1 species
AACGAACGCUGGCGGCAUGCCUAACACAUGCAAGUCGAACGAGACCUUCGGGUCUAGUUGCGCACGGGUGCGUAACGCGUGGGAACCUGCCCUUAGGUUCGGAAUAACUCCCCGAAAGGGGUGCUAAUACCGGAUAAUGUCUUCGGACCAAAGAUUUAUCGCCUUUGGAUGGGCCCGCGUUGGAUUAGCUAGUUGGUAGGGUAAAAGCCUACCAAGGCGACGAUCCAUAGCUGGUCUGAGAGGAUGAUCAGCCACACUGGGACUGAGACACGGCCCAGAAUCCUACGGGAGGCAGCAGUGGGGAAUAUUGGACAAUGGGCGAAAGCAUGAUCCAGCAAUGCCGCGUGAGUGAUGAAGGCCUUAGGGUUGUAAAGCUCUUUUACACGGGAUGAUAAUGACAGUACCGGGAGAAUAAGCUCCGGCUAACUCCGUG